AACAACCUCAACUUAAAGGGCGUACAAACCUUGUUUCUUAAAGUCUCUCAAGACUUCCUUCGGCCCCUUCACGACUCUCAGGAUACCAUGCUCUCCCUUGAACACAUAUCCUUUCAUGUCGAAUUCACCAAGAAAAAACAAAUUUCUCUUAAGACCAGUUACAUACCUGACGCCAUCCGAUAACUUUAUUGACUCAUCACAAAGCUUGAAUCUCACAUAUUCAAUACCUGUAAUUUUGCAGGCUUUGUUGUUUCCUAGCAACAUUGAU
rnacentral:lncRNA from 1 species